rfam:Rattus norvegicus chromosome 6, whole genome shotgun sequence.
GGGGAUCUAGCUCAGUGGUAGAGCGCUUGCCUAGCAAGCACAAGGCCCUGGGUUCGGUCCCCA